rnacentral:rRNA from 1 species
CCUACGGGCGGCAGCAGUGAGGAAUAUUGGUCAAUGGGCGCGAGCCUGAACCAGCCAAGUCGCGUGAGGGAAGACGGUCCUAUGGAUUGUAAACCUCUGUCAGCGGGGAAGAACGGUCACUGUGCUAAUCAGCAUUAAAUUACCGUUCCCUGCAAAGGAAGCCCCGGCUAACUCCGUGCCAGCAGCAGCGGUAAUACGGAGGGGGCGAGCGUUAAUCGGAAUUACUGGGCGUAAAGCGCUCGUAGGCGGUAUGUCAAGUCAAGGGUGAAAUCCCCGCGCUCAACGUGGGAACUGCCUUUGAAACUGGCAAACUGGAGUGUGUGAGAGGAUAGUGGAAUUCCAGGUGUAGGAGUGAAAUCCGUAGAUAUCUGGAGGAACAUCAGUGGCGAAGGCGACUAUCUGGCACAUAACUGACGCUGAGGAGCGAAAGCGUGGGUAGCAAACAGGAUUAGAUACCCGAGUAGUC